rnacentral:lncRNA from 1 species
CAGCAAUAUUGGCAAGUCAGAAGUCAAUUUUAGUCCAUUGUAGCGUCCACCCCUGUAAACAAUUUGCAUGACGCUGGACAAGUGAAGGAGAUCCUCAUUUCAAACAAGAGCAUUAGUUGGCACAUUUCCCCACCUCAGUUACCUUUUCUUCUAAAGGGAGGCACAGUAACAGGGGAACGACAAUUAAGGAGUUAUGCAAACCAAAUUAUGAUCUCCCUAGUUGAGUGGUCGGGCGGUCUGUUAAAGGCUUGACGCUUCUGCUGAGGCGCCGGGGCCGGACGCUAUUGCUGAGGCGCCGGACGCUUCUGCUGAGGCGCCGGGGCCGGACGCUUCUGCUGAGGCGCCGGGGCCGGACGCUUCUGCUGAGGCGCCGGGGCCGGACGCUUCUGCUGAGGCGCCGGGGCCGGACGCUUCUGCUGAGGCGCCUGGGCCGGACGCUUCUGCUGAGGCGCCGGGGCCGGACGCUUCUGCUGAGGCGCCGGGGCCGGACGCUAUUGCUGAGGCGCCGGGGCCGGACGCGUCUGCCGAGGCGCCGGGGCCAGACUUCACACUUGACGGGGCAUUGUGGCCAGUAGCUUCUGCUGACGUGGCAUUGGGGCCAGUAACUGCUGACGUGGCAUUGGGGCCAGUAACUUCUGCUGACGUGGCAUUGGGGCCAGUAGCUUCUGCUGACGUGGCAUUGGGGCCAGUAGCUUCUGCUGACGUGGCAUUGGGGCCAGUAGCUUCUGCUGACGUGGCAUUGGGGCCAGAAGCUUUAGCAUUUGGACUACGCACCACACUUGCUUGGGCAUAGGAUCCAAUUGGUUCAGGUCCAGUGUAGGCAGGAUGCCCAUAAGAAUU